GAGAUUAUAGACAAGAGAGAAAUUUGAUAGAAUUUUGGCCGCAAUAGUAGGAGAGAACGGAAAGACAGGACCUAGACAGAUAGGGAACCUGGGCAACAGAAGACCAAAGAUGAGUGAAGAUGGACAGAGGCACCUCUUGGACAAAGAACAAUGUGCUUAUUGCAAAGAAAAAGGACAUUGGGCUAGAGAAUGCCCAAAGAAGAAAGGAAGGGCCUCUAAGAUACUGGCCUUGGAAGAAGAUGAUUAGAGGGGAUGGGGCUCGGACCUCCCUCCUCCACACCUAGGGUAACCCUGACUGUGGAGGGAACCCCUAUGGAUUUUCUAAUGGACAUAGGGGCUGAGCAAUCUGAAACAACCAUUGGGGAAGCUAAAGAAUACAAAGACUAUAGUAAUUGGAGCAACUGGACAGAAACAAUAUCUGUGGACCACCUUAUGAACUGUAGAUUUGGGGAGUGGACAAGUGACUCAUUCCUUCCUGGUUAUCCCUGAGUGUUCCAUGCUUUUAUGAGAAAGAGACUUGUUAACAAAGUUGAAGGCCCAGAUCAGGUUUACUCGAACCAGGCCGGAGGGGAUUAAAGCCUUUUGUUGACUGAACCAGUGACCUUCGCUCCCCCUGCUGUCCUCAAUCCUGCUACCCUACUGCCUGAGACUGAUGACUCCUCAUCUACUCAUCACUGCGCUGACAUUCUGGCAGAAGAAGCUGGUGCCCGAAAUGAUCUGAAGGAUCAGCCUUGGUCUGGGAGUCUGAGCUGGUAUACGGAUGGCAGCAGUUUUGUGGUUGAAGAUACCUUUUCAGGCUGGGUAGAAGCUUUUCCUACCAGGACUGAGACAGCCAAUGUGGUGGCUAAGAAGAUCAUAUAAGAAAUCUCCCCGAGGUUUGGGACACCCAAGGCAAUCAGGUCUGAUAAUGGACCUGCCUUUGUUGCCCAGGCCCUUGAAGUGGCGAGACACCAGAUCUGGGAACUGAAAGAAGUAUGCAUCUCUGCCUGGAUCCACGCCUCCCACAUGAAGCGAGCUCCUGAACUACCUGAAUUGCAGUAUCUGGGGCUUUUGACAACACUGCCAAUCAAAAGGCUUGUGUUUGGAGGACUAAUCAUAGAUGGACUCUUACUGAGGUUAUGUAAUGAGACUCUUAAGAGCCCUGAGACUCCUGACACCAGGUACUUGGUUCCUGGUUUAGAUAAAUGGUGGGCUUGUAGUACAGGCCUGACACCUUGUGUGUCGACAUUGGUUUUUAAUGACACCAAAAAUUACUGUGUGCCUGUACAACUGGUGCCUAGGGGCUUUUAUCACCCAGCUAACAUGCUUGAAGAUGAGUUUGACAAGUACCCAACUUGCUUUUGAUGAGAAUCUAUUUCUCUGAUAUUAGCAGUAAUCCUGGGCCUCGGGGUAGCUGCCCUAAUACAGGCCCCUCAGUACUUUAAUGAAUUAAAACUAAUUACCUUCAUUAGAGAAAGAAUAAAUGCUGCUCAGAUUUUGAUGUUACACCACUAAUAUAGUGUUUUACAAGGUCAAGAAGAUACUGAAAUCUAGUUCUAUGAUUAGAACUAGGCACUAGAAGAAGUGGGGAGAUGAAAGACCUGGAUAAAUCCAGAUC